CGGCACGGGUGGGUAACACGUAUCCAACCUGCCGUCUACUCUUGGCCAGCCUUCUGAAAGGAAGAUUAAUCCAGGAUGGGAUCAUGAGUUCACAUGUCCGCAUGAUUAAAGGUAUUUUCCGGUAGACGAUGGGGAUGCGUUCCAUUAGAUAGUAGGCGGGGUAACGGCCCACCUAGUCAACGAUGGAUAGGGGUUCUGAGAGGAAGGUCCCCCACAUUGGAACUGAGACACGGUCCAA
rnacentral:rRNA from 1 species